rnacentral:rRNA from 1 species
UNUGACUUGAGUGCAGAAGGGGAGAGUGGAAUUCCAUGUGUAGCGGUGAAAUGCGUAGAUAUAUGGAGGAACACCAGUGGCGAAAGCGGCUCUCUGGUCUGUCACUGACGCUGAGGCUCGAAAGCGUGGGUAGCGAACAGGAUUAGAUACCCUGGUAGUNCACGCCGUAAACGAUGAGUGCUAGGUGUUAGGCCCUUUCCGGGGCUUAGUGCCGGAGCUAACGCAAUAAGCACUCCGCCUGGGGAGUACGACCGCAAGGUUGAAACUCAAAGGAAUUGACGGGGGCCCGCACAAGCGGUGGAGCAUGUGGUUUAAUUCGAAGCAACGCGAAGAACCUUACCAGGUCUUGACAUCCCGAUGCUAUUCUUAGAGAUAGGAAGUUACUUCGGUACAUCGGAGACAGGUGGUGCAUGGUUGUCGUCAGCUCGUGUCGUGAGAUGUUGGGUUAAGUCCCGCAACGAGCGCAACCCUUAUUGUUAGUUGCCAUCAUUAAGUUGGGCACUCUAGCGAGACUGCCGGUAAUAAACCGGAGGAAGGUGGGGAUGACGUCAAAUCAUCAUGCCCCUUAUGACCUGGGCUACACACGUGCUACAAUGGUCGGUACAACGAGUUGCGAGCCGGUGACGGCAAGCUAAUCUCUGAAAGCCGAUCUCAGUUCGGAUUGGAGGCUGCAACUCGCCUCCAUGAAGUCGGAAUCGCUAGUAAUCGCGGAUCAGCACGCCGCGGUGAAUACGUUCCCGGGCCUUGUACACACCGCCCGUCACACCACGAGAGUUUGUAACACCCGAAGUCGGUGAGGUAACCUUUUAGGGGCCA